rnacentral:tRNA from 1 species
GCGCCCUUAGCUCAACGGAUAGAGCAGCGGUCUUCGGAACCGCUGGUUGGGGGUUCGAAUCCCUCAGGGCGCGCCA